CAUGCAAGUCGAACGGAAUAAUGACUUCGGUUGUUAUUUAGUGGCGGAAGGGUUAGUAAUACAUAGAUAAUCUGUCCUCAACUUGGGAAUAACGGUUGGAAACGACCGCUAAUACCGAAUGUAGUAUGUUUAGGCAUCUAAAACAUAUUAAAGAAGGGGAUCUUCGGACCUUUCGGUUAAGGGAGAGUCUAUGGGAUAUCAGCUUGUUGGUGGGGUAAUGGCCUACCAAGGCUUUGACGUCUAGGCGGAUUGAGAGAUUGACCGCCAACACUGGGACUGAGACACUGCCCAGACUUCUACGGAAGGCUGCAGUCGAGAAUCUUUCGCAAUGGACGAAAGUCUGACGAAGCGACGCCGCGUGUGUGAUGAAGGCUCUAGGGUUGUAAAGCACUUUCGCUUGGGAAUAAGAGAGAUUGGCUAAUAUCCAAUCGAUUUGAGCGUACCAGGUAAAGAAGCACCGGCUAACUCCGUGCCAGCAGCUGCGGUAAUACGGAGGGUGCUAGCGUUAAUCGGAUUUAUUGGGCGUAAAGGGCGUGUAGGCGGAAAGGAAAGUUAGAUGUUAAAUCUUGGGGCUCAACCCCAAGCCAGCAUCUAAUACUAUCUUUCUAGAGGGUAGAUGGAGAAAAGGGAAUUCCACGUGUAGCGGUGAAAUGCGUAGAUAUGUGGAAGAACACCAGUGGCGAAGGCGCUUUUCUAAUUUACACCUGACGCUAAGGCGCGAAAGCAAGGGGAGCAAACAGGAUAAGWC
rnacentral:rRNA from 1 species